GCAGGAGGAUGGGCGCGGAGGGAAGGCGGAGAAGAAGCCACGGCUGCAGGAGAGUGAACUGAAGGCAUUUCAGCCCAAUAUGAAAAUGCUAUGGCCCGGGAAGAGUUUAAGACAUAUGUUCAUGGUCCAGAGCUCAUGCACACCUGAGUUGGCCCUUGAACCCAGAUCUGUCUGAUGCCAUGCAGCAUGACCACAGCGUGGCCCAGCCUUCCAGGACCAUGGGCUCUCUGAAGCUUGAAGAAGGUACGUGCAUGAGAAAUAAAUGGAGCCACUUCUGUCUUAAGGGGUGGUUAAGGGAGAGAAACAUGAGUAGCUUUAAAAGCCAUCGCAAGAAAUUCAUCAGAGACAGUCACAUUCAUCGUGAUGGGCUGCUAAGGGAAGCUGAAUGAGCUCCCAGGCAGCCUCCAUCUUUUGAGGCCGAUGUCAAAGAGAACAACAAGCCCUUCUCCCUUCCAGCCCCACGGCAGGAACACUGGCUUUCAAGGGAGGGCCAAGGCUGAUUUCUGGGAAGCCCCCCUGGAUGCAGUGCUCUGGGAGCGGGCCUGACAAACCCAGCUUUACGACGGACAGAAUACUCAUUGAGCUUCACCACAACCCAACUCCCAUUUUACAGAUGAGGACACUGAGGCUCAGAAGGGACCUACUUGCCUCUGGUUCAUGGCUGGUCCUUCCCAGGAAGUGAGCCGCUGAGGAAGUCAGCAGUUGAGCACAUGGCGCUCCCUUGCCACAUCUAAAAUGCACACAACGUUCUCCAGCAGACGUCGCAGCAUAAAUACCGCAGCCGCGCACCGCCUCUUCCAAGCAGUUGGCUUUGAUUUACCGCGACCCCAAGAAUGUAAGAUUUCUGAUGGGUACGCUCAUUUAUUUUGUACUCACUAGUCCAAGAGGAGCUGAGGGAGAUUGGAUGCUGCAAACCCAGUGCCUGUAAGGAGCCGGAUAAGUAACAAAUGAAUGAAGC